rnacentral:rRNA from 1 species
GAUGAACGCUGGCGGCGUGCCUAAUACAUGCAAGUCGAGCGAACAGACGAGGAGCUUGCUCCUCUGACGUUAGCGGCGGACGGGUGAGUAACACGUGGAUAACCUACCUAUAAGACUGGGAUAACUUCGGGAAACCGGAGCUAAUACCGGAUAAUAUAUUGAACCGCAUGGUUCAAUAGUGAAAGACGGUUUUGCUGUCACUUAUAGAUGGAUCCGCGCCGCAUUAGCUAGUUGGUAAGGUAACGGCUUACCAAGGCGACGAUGCGUAGCCGACCUGAGAGGGUGAUCGGCCACACUGGAACUGAGACACGGUCCAGACUCCUACGGGAGGCAGCAGUAGGGAAUCUUCCGCAAAGGGCGAAAGCCUGACGGAGCAACGCCGCGUGAGUGAUGAAGGUCUUCGGAUCGUAAAACUCUGUUAUUAGGGAAGAACAAAUGUGUAAGUUACUAUGCACGUCUUGACGGUACCUAAUCAGAAAGCCACGGCUAACUACGUG